ensembl:lncRNA
AUUUGAACAUGUGCCUUGUUGAAGUAAAAAACAAUCCCAAGUUCAUUUUUCUCUCCAAAACUUGACAUUGAUCCUGAUCUCUUAGUUUUUAUGUACACAAAGUGUUAUGGAAAUCAAUUUGGACAUGCCGGUUUAUAGGGAAAUUUUAAGCUGGUGCAAGUUUAAUAUGAAAGAAUAUAUAUUAAGAUAUAAAAUAACUACUAGCCAAAAUUAAAUCAAGAGGUAUAUUUGUAUCAUUCACUCGUUUAGAUGAGUGAGAGUUUAAAAGGUAGUUUUGCACUCAGGAAAGAUUUCCUUAUACUCUGUAUUUAUGAAUAUAUAAAUUAUUCUCCCCUGCAACUUAAAAACUCAAUAGCCAAAUAACACAUUUAUGUAUUUUAAGGUGACUAAGGCUCAGGAUAUAAGCAGCAGACUGGCUUCAUGAAAGAAAGCAAGUAUUUAAAAUUGUACCUUAAAAUAUAAACUUGAUUUCAGUUUCUGACAGAAAUACUGUGACCAGCUCAUCAGUUUUCCAGAUCAUUUUUAAAGCAGCAUGUAAAAAUUACCUUUUCCACAUUAGAAGUUCAUAUUUAAGUUUCCUUAACUGCAAAAUCACUCUAAAACAGAGUGUUUUACGUUAAGGAUCAUUUCAUGUGUUGGUCCCAUUGAUUACAUAUGAAUGUAUAAAAAUCUUGUUUAAAAGACCAGUAAAAGUGAGGAAAUUCCAAGUCAAGCUGGCUAAUUCCAUUCAUAAUUCAUCCUGAGUGCCUGACUUAGGAAACUUGCACACAGUUUAUAGCUAUACAUACAAAAUAAGUUGACUUGUUUGGUAAACAGGGAAGCAGAGUUAAAUUUGACCUCCUUGCUCAGAAAGGCUUACGUUGAUACAACCAUGGAAUGUAGGUUAAGCUUUUUGUUUCCCCAGGAAUUUUCCAAUCUCAAUCCUUUUUUGGAUUUUCGCUUUUUGAAAACGUAAACACAGGACAACUUUUGUGUUCUGAGAUGGGGCUGACUUUCACCCACCCGUUCCCUUCCUGCUCGCAUAUUUGUUCAGGAAUUCUUAGUGCUGGGGGAGCACAGAGGCCCUGCCGUGAGAAAACAGCAUUCACCGAAUCGCUGUCCCCGUCCCCGUCCCCGUUAGCUACCCUAGGCCCUCUUUUUAUUCUGAGCAAACUGGGCAAGAAUUUAGUACUUAUACUCACAUGGUUCAAACUGCUAGAUCCACAGCCCGAAGUACUUUUGGCAGCUGGCAAGAAGUCCAUCCAGACUUUGUAUUCUGAGCUGGGAAAAACUACUGAAGAAUCGCGUGCUUGCCAUUGAGGAACUUCCAGUCUGUCUGUCAAACCUGAAACAAUCCAUCUGCUUGUUUUCCAAAGCUGCACUGUAGGGUGAUGCCAUCCCUUAGUUUUGACGUUUAGGAAGACGUUAAGACAUUUUCAUACAGUUUCUUAAACAUGCUGAGUAAUUUGUAAUUUUAAACCAGACAAAUUUUAAGGGUGAAAACUGGCCCAGAGAGAGUCUUUACACAAUAACUUCAAACUGCUGUGAACUUUUAAAAGUGACUUUUUAAAAUAAGAUCUUGAAAAUGUGGGUUUCUGGUGGCUACUCAGAAUAGGAAUCCUCAGAACCAGUUAAUAUUCACCAAACACGCUUCAUUAAACUGGAACAAACAUGAUGUUGAAUUCCUAGCUCCCCAUUUUCCUGAAUGUAGGUCAUUUUCUGUCCUUACAAUUUAACGAUUGAAGGGAUUUCCUGUCUUUGAAGUACAGCAGUUUGUCACUUGUUUGGAUUAGCCUCUUUAAAAGUUGGGGCUCCCAUCCUACGUUGAAAGACUUAGCGACUCCAUGUUCUCUGGCUAGAGUUUCCCAGCUCACUAAAGGCAGUGAUACCUGCCCGUGUGGGACUUUGCUUUACAAGUCGGUGCCUGCAGAGCCCAUAUUCCAGGUUGGAGCCUUCAGGAAAAGCCCAGAGUCAUGCGCUUACCUGGGUGAAGCCAAAAAGAGGGAAGGGUUCAGCUCUGCCAGAAAGGGAAUGUAAGCAGAAGGAAUUCCUGCUCUGAACCCCACCCCCAGAGCUACAGACUCCUGAGUUCAUGACUUGUGGGUCACACACAUCCCUCUGUCCUGGACACCUGGGCCGGGCCUGCGGUGCAAAGCGUCACUCAGCACGCCUGCCGGCUCCGUCAGUACCCACCGCACAGCAGCUUUCCUUCUCUCAACGCUUGGCUGCCUGCCAUGCUGACCCCAGGAACAGAGCCUCCUAAGAAAAAGGUACGUAAGAAAUGAGGGCUGAACACACACCAUGUCUUCCUCGAGACCAGCCAGCUCUCCUCAUGAGAACAGCUUUCCAAGCCUAGGGCUUGGUUCCAGCUCCAUUACAACAAAGAAAAACCUUUAUAACAUUUGUCCACAAUCUAAGCCACAGGAAAAUCCUGACUGCACAGCACAUGACAUGGUGUGGAGAGUAUAAGCACACUGGAGAAAGAAGAAUUACUAUGCAAAAGCUAUUGACGCACAAGACCUUCGUAACAAGCAGGAAAUGUGCAAAGACAGAUCCCUGUGCGGGAGAUAACAGCUGUCCCUGUUGGGACCCAAGGCUCAAAGGGCAGCUUGUGAGACACUGGCUGCUGCUCGACACGGCGUUAUUUCCUUGGCAUGUGACGGAACUGGGGGCCUUCCUUGCUUUUCUCUGGUGUCCUUCUUUUGUCAUUGUUUGUGAAGGUAGUUGAGCUUCGGUUUGGUCUGGAAUCCCGUGACACUUAGAGCUAUAAGAUCAAAGUCCAUCAUAGGCAUUUGGGUUGGUGCCUGGUGCCAGCAAAGUUCAGGCUGGGCUUCAAAUGGGGCUUGAGUGCCUCUUUUGCUGUUAAGUCGCUUCAGUCGUGUCCAACUCUGUGUGACCCCGUAAAUGGCAGCCCACCAGGCUCCCCCAACCCUGGGAUUCUCCAGGCAAGAACACUGGAGUGGGUUGCCAUUUCCUUCUCCAAUGCAUGAAAGUGAAAAGUGAAAGUGAAGUCUCUCAGUCAUGUCCGACUCUUCGUGACCUCAUGGACCGCAGCCUACCAGGCUCCUCCACCCAUGGGAUUUUCCAGGCAAGAGUACUGAAGUGGGGUGCCAUCGCCUUCUCUUGGCCGCGGUCAAAGGCUGGCUGGGUUUGAUCUUGAACUGAGGAGUUGCAGGUCCUUGAUUGAUAAACCCUGCUUGGCAGAGCUCUGCUUUAAUUAACGUGGCCCUUGUGUUGGGUGGAUUUCCUGUGUUUUAGCACCUCCCUAGAUGUAACCUUAUCUCUCCAUUUUCAACCCAUGAUUGAUCUGAAACACCACAGGUGAGGUUUCUCUUUGACUCAACAGCUGGAUUACUUCCAGGUUUUCCCACCACAGAAGAGAAGUCCCAAACUCUAGCAGUUCUUAUCAUUUGACAUUUUAUGGGGCAGCCACUGUGGGUGAGAUGCUAAUAUGGUUAGACACAGGUCCAGUAAACUGAACUUAGUGCCUGAAAGUGUAUUCAUCUACAAUGUGUAAAUGUUAGAGACAAUGGAAGUAAACAAAUGAUAGAUGGUGUUUAGGGGGGAGGUGACAGCAAGGUGUCUCUCAGAAGCUUGGAAAGAGGGCAAGUGGUUGACCUUUAAGCAUUAAGCUACUUAAAUAACUGCAUAAGUGAAGGAGGCAGAAGGUUUCAUUGAUCCUUUGGGAAAAAUGAUUUAGAGGGAACAGGAAGAUAGCCCAGCGCCCUGAGGAUCACAUGUCCUGCAAGAUGCUUCUCAGGUCAGUUUGGGACAAUCUUUGAUAGUCACAAUGCACAUUUCACUUUGUUUACACUUGUGUUUCUAUCAAACUUAAAAAAAUAAAAUGGACCUCCAUCACCUCCCUGUUUCUCAGUUUUUUGUUUGCUUGUUUUUAAAAUCACAGCACACCACGGAAAGAAAUGAUUUAUAAAGCAUACCUACUGUGGGAAUACAGGGAGGCCCAAGCUAAAGAAAG